GACGACCCUCGAGACAGUCCCCAUCACCACGACCAUAAAACCGAAUCCAUCGACACAACUGGAGUUCUGGUGGAGGAGCAGCUGCCGGAGGAGAGCCGGGAGUCGGGACGAGACUUGACGAGCUCCAAAUUCACACAGGAAUCGGGUACGUUCAGAGUCUUAACUACGGGU